CUGGGCUUGACAUGCUAGCUGCAAGUCCGAUGAAAAUCGGACCGCCUUCGAGGGUGCUAGUACAGUUGCUGCAUGGCUGUCGUCAGCUCGUGCCGUGGGGUGUUCCCUUAAGUGGGGUAACGAGCGCAACCCCCGUCCUAUGUUAAAUGUUCAUAGGAGACCGCCUUGGUAUCUACUAGGGAGGAAGGAGGGGAUGACGUCAAGUCAGCACGGUGCUUAUGCCCAGGGCUACAAACAUCCUACAAUGGCGAAGAACAACGGGUUGCCAAGCCGCAAGGCGGAGCUAAUCCUUGAAAUUUCGCCUCAGUUCAGAUUGUGGGCUGAAAUUCGCCCACAUGAAGUUGGAAUUGGUAGUAAUCGCAGGUCAGCAGACUGCGGUGAAUACGUUCC
rnacentral:rRNA from 1 species